CCCUGUCUCAAAAAAAGAAAAAAAAAAUACAACCUACUUUCUUAGACAUUUUCAAGUAUACAAUAAAUUGUUAUUACUUAUACUCACCUUGUGUCUCUUGAACUUAUUCCUUCUGUCUAACUGAAAUUUUAUACCUUUUCAUCAUUAUCUUCCCAAAUCUUUUUGCCUUUUUGUAUUUGUUAUUUUACUGUAACAAGGAACCUUUUACAUUAACAUUUAUAUUUAAGGUUCUUUUUCCUCUAUGGAAUAUUUGAGGAAAUGGGCAAAAUGAAGUAUUGGAAAUAUAGGUGCUCUCCAAAAAUGAUGUCUCAAGUUUCACUUCCUUUUCUGAAAGAUUUUUGCACAACUAAUAAUUAAAUGGCAAGUCUUUUGUCUUUUUCCUUUUCAAGUUAGCAAGUAAAAUGUUGACAAAUUGUGCCUGGUAUUAGUUAUCUGCAGUUGAUGUGUCUUAGACUGAUUUAACUUUCUUUUUUGUUAUUGAGAUGUUUAUAAAUUGGAUAUAUCAUGUAAAAAAAAGUAAAACAUUUUAACAACAUAAAAUGUAGCUAGAAAAAUAUAAAUUAAAAAAUUAACUCAAAUUUAUUAUUGUAAUUCCUUUAACAAAGUUUCAGAAUGGUAAGAUUGAUACUUACUUUAUAGGCUGUUGGUUUAAAUUCUCUUCUAUAUGGUUAGGCUUCAGAUAUAUAACUGCUUUAAAUCUGGUUUAUCAUCUGUUUUGUUGCAGGGAUUCCUCUGUAAUUGUUUUAUGCAUACUAGAUUUCAUGACUCAUGACAUAUUUUUAACAUUAGGAGAUACUUAAUGACAUGACUUAUCAUUAACCAUUAGUCAACCUGCUUUUUAUUGUGAAAUUUAUUUUUCUCUCCAGAAUAAAAUAGCUCAUCUCAGAGUACAAAAAGUCAUAUUUCUGUUGCAGCAGAAAACUUAAUUAUAGUAAAAAUAAAUGAUGAGUCAUGUCACCAUAUGGAAAUUGCAAGUGUGAAUAACUGAAUUCCUAGAUUCAAGAGAAGACCUGUGAUAAAGGAGCCUAAUAACAAAUUAAAAUUUCCAUCCUUCUUCUAUGUUACAGCUGACUUCUACAUCAAACCAAAAAUAUCUGAAUUUUAUGUAAUAAAGACCAAGUUAUUUUUACUGUCAAUUUUAAGUAUUUUCUAGUAGUAAGAAAUAAGAAUAUCUUGACUAGAUAUUUAGCCAUAUUAAAAUAUAGCUCAUGCAAUUUAUGUUACGUUAAAAUAGUUAAGUUUACUAGAGUUUUGAUUAAGCAUGAUGGCUUGAACAAGCGUAUCUAUCUUUAUUUUCUUUCAAAUCCCCCACUGAAAUAAAAUAAAGACUUAAAUCUGUGAGGAUAAAGAUGAUAAAAGAGAAGAUAGUGUCAGAUAAGAAAUGCUAACAAAAUUGUAGAGCCGGAAGAGUGAUCAUUAUCUUCUAAGAGUAGAAAGAGCAAAAAGCCAAGGGCCUCUAUUGGGGUAAUAUAUAAUAAAUACAUAUUCUAUUGGGAAAUAAUCACAUUUGCACCUCAUGUCUUUGGAAGAUUUUAGAAAUGGGAGCCACAAGCUGCCUGUAAAAAGCUGGGUGCAAAAUACAGCUGAAAACGUAAAGAUUGGCUGAAAGUGUUGAAAAGAAAUUAUAUUCCCAGAUCCUUCCCAUACUGAACUCAGCCCUGGGUUGAACCCAAGAAGCUCUGGACUCAGAGACAGCUGGAGGUAAUGGACUUGGAAGCCAGAUUGAAAGACAUCAUAAAUAGGAAGUGAAAUAAAGAACAGGACAUUGACAAGAGGUUUGGGAACACUGAAGAAAUUAUAUUACAGCUCCAGAAAGAAAGAUAAAUGACAGUACAUUGGAAUAAUAGUCAAAAAGGCAGUAGACUUUUUAAUAACACUGGGAGCCAAAAACAAUGUGAAAUACCUUAAAAAUUCUGAGAAAUGACAAUUUCCAAACUAGAAUUGUCUAUUGAAAUUAUCAAUCAAGUGUAAGGUAGAACACGUAAAUUCUCAAAAAAUUGUUCUCUCAAUGCACCUUUUCUCAGGAAGCUACUGGAGGAAGUACUCCAACAAAACAAGGAAGCAAACAAUAAAAGGAAUACAUGGAUUGUUUUAAAGAAACAGGAAAUUGGAAACGAAGAAGCAAGGCAAUUACUGGAUGUCAGCAGAGCAGCAAGCAAAGAGUUUAAUCCCAUCAAAUAGGUGCAGGGUGAUAGAGGUAUCCAGGACUUUUGUCUCCAAGGAAAACAUGAAGCAGAUGGAUUGCUGAAUAUAUUUGAUCCUGUUGAAGUGACUGAGUUUUCCUUUAGAGAACCUAAGAAUGUAUAACUCCAGGGAAAUCAACAAGUUGUAAAAUAAAGGAAAUGUCACAGCACACUACA